GUCCGCAGCCCCGGGGGCUCCCCCAGCACAGCUGCAGCACCGCGUCCGCCGCUCCUCCGCCUUCCCCCGUGGGGCGCCGCGUUCCUCGGCAGCGGCGCUGGGACCCCCACCGGGGCCGCCCGUCUCACAGCUGUGCCAAAGCAGAACUGCGCCGGAGACAUUGGAGCUGUGUAACCUUGAAAAGACAGUACCAGGCUGAUUUCAAAUAAUCCUUCCUUGAUGAAGACAACUGCAGAGCACCUGAGAAAGUGGCACCCAUACCUAGUGGAAGAAGAGAAAGUGUUAUUCAUGCCUUCUGAAAGCAAUAAAGACAACAUAGAUGGAAGGAUUUUGUACCUGAAGGACUCUUCAGGUACUCUGGCUCUACCUAAGGAUUCUGGGGUGAAGUGGUUUGUAGGGCUGGACAGAAUGCACAGUUCUCCUUUGCUACCCAGCAGCUAGGUGUCUGCCUUCUGGAAACUGCUUGGAAAAAGUCAUGUUUCUUACUGUACCUGUUACACGUACCAAAAGAAGCUACCUGUAAAUUAAAAUAUUCAGAGAAACUGAAAACUUCUGAGGUCUCAGAAUGUAUUGUAAUGCCUGAAUCAGAUGAAAUAUGAAGGAACUGGUUUGAGGGAUAUAGAAAGACGUGCCAAGAAAUGCUUUCAGGCAAAAUGUGUGUGCUCCUGAUUAAGAGGCAGAAUUUCUCAUGCGAUAGCCAAACCAAAAAAGAAGGAAAGAUUCAGGGAAGUAUUUUUAAUUCUAUUGGGGGGAAAAAAUGAAAUCAUUCUUCAUUUCCCAUUUUCUCUAAUUUAAUAGUCCAAAGAAAAUAAAUACCAUUUUGUAAUGUGAAUUAUGUAGGUUUUGCACUGUGUAAUUACAGUUCUGCUCAGGACUCAGCACCUGAACCGUGCAGAAGUUCAAUUCAGAAUUCUGUCUGUUCACCAACACUGAGAAACAGCCAAAGCUGCAGCAGCUGUCGCUCACCAUUUCCAAAUGAGCGACCUCUGGCUGGAAUUGGUUUUUACAGUCCACCAGACUCUUUAAAAAUGCAAUUUUUAUGUUCAAUUUAAUGUCUUAGCUUUACAAAACAAGAUAGUUUUUAUGCCAUUUGUACUACAAGCAAAAAUGUAGCCAUGAAAAGUGGUUCUUCAGAAAAUCUCCAUGUCAAGGCAAACCUGUAACAAGAUUAAUAUAAAAGAAACAUGCUCAAAAAUAUGAAUCUACUUCAGAACAAUGCUUAGAAUGUAGCACACACAAACCUCAGCAGGGAAAAGAUAUUUUUUAGCGUAUUUUCCAGUUUGUUGCUAAGAAACUGUUGCUUCAUUUCACUACUGUCACUUGCAGAAAAUUUUUGAUUGUUCUUUUGCCAUUUCGGACAUCUCAUUUUAACAGCUAUAUAAAUAAAUGGGUUUAAAGGGAAAAGCACUGGAUUAUGUUCAGUGUGCUUUCAUUGUA